GGACGAUAAGCACAUAUGGAUGUGCGGUGAGCUGUUAACUCAAUGGUAGUUGGUUCGAAUCCAACAUCGUCCG
rnacentral:tRNA from 1 species